rnacentral:rRNA from 1 species
AUUGAACGCUAGCGGGAUGCUUUACACAUGCAAGUCGAACGGCAGCGCGGACUUCGGUCUGGCGGCGAGUGGCGAACGGGUGAGUAAUGUAUCGGAACGUGCCCAGUAGCGGGGGAUAACUACGCGAAAGCGUAGCUAAUACCGCAUACGCCCUACGGGGGAAAGCAGGGGAUCGUAAGACCUUGCACUAUUGGAGCGGCCGAUAUCGGAUUAGCUAGUUGGUGAGGUAACGGCUCACCAAGGCGACGAUCCGUAGCUGGUCUGAGAGGACGACCAGCCACACUGGGACUGAGACACGGCCCAGACUCCUACGGGAGGCAGCAGUGGGGAAUUUUGGACAAUGGGGGCAACCCUGAUCCAGCCAUCCCGCGUGUGCGAUGAAGGCCUUCGGGUUGUAAAGCACUUUUGGCAGGAAAGAAACGUCGCGGGCUAAUACCCCGUGGAACUGACGGUACCUGCAGAAUAAGCACCGGCUAACUACGUG